rnacentral:rRNA from 1 species
GACGAACGCUGGCGGCGUGCUUAACACAUGCAAGUCGAACGGAAAGGCCCUGCUUUUGUGGGGUGCUCGAGUGGCGAACGGGUGAGUAACACGUGAGUAACCUGCCCUUGACUUUGGGAUAACUUCAGGAAACUGGGGCUAAUACCGGAUAGGAGCUCCUGCUGCAUGGUGGGGGUUGGAAAGUUUCGGCGGUUGGGGAUGGACUCGCGGCUUAUCAGCUUGUUGGUGGGGUAGUGGCUUACCAAGGCUUUGACGGGUAGCCGGCCUGAGAGGGUGACCGGCCACAUUGGGACUGAGAUACGGCCCAGACUCCUACGGGAGGCAGCAGUGGGGAAUAUUGCACGAUGGGCGGAAGCCUGAUGCAGCAACGCCGCGUGCGGGAUGACGGCCUUCGGGUUGUAAACCGCUUUCGCCUGUGACGAAGCGUGAGUGAAGGUAAUGGGUAAAGAAGCACCGGCUAACUACGUG